GAUGAACGCUGGCGGCGUGCCUAAUACAUGCAAGUCGAACGCUUCACUUCGGUGAAGAGUGGCGAACGGGUGAGUAAUACAUAAGUAACCUGGCAUCUACAGGGGGAUAACUGAUGGAAACGUCAGCUAAGACCGCAUAGGUGUAGAGAUCGCAUGAACUCUAUAUGAAAAGUGCUACGGGACUGGUAGAUGAUGGACUUAUGGCGUAUUAGCUGGUUGGUAGGGUAACGGCCUACCAAGGCGACGAUGCGUAGCCGACCUGAGAGGGUGACCGGCCACACUGGGACUUAGACACGGCCCAGACUCCUACGGGAGGCAGCAGUAGGGAAGUUUAGGCAAUGGGGGAAACCCUGACCGAGCAACGCCGCGUGAAGGAAGAAGUAAUUCGUUAUGUAAACUUCUGUCAUAGAGGAAGAACGGUGGAUAUAGGGAAUGAUAUCCAAGUGACGGUACUCUAUAAGAAAGCCACGGCUAACUACGUGCCAGCCGCCGCCGUAAUAC
rnacentral:rRNA from 1 species